AAGAACAAAAAAAAAGAAAUGGAACGCACACUGAUCUCAUCGUCGCCAUUCAGGUUCCACCCUUUGACGACGUCACACAGAAUCGCCACCAUAACUAAGAGGAGAAAACAAACCACCGUGUGUUGCGACUACUACUACCAAGGAGGACGAGUGGUGGACGAGAACAUGGUGGUUCUUAGGAAACGGAUCCAUGAGAUGAAGAUGGUUGAACGAAACUACGAACCUCCUUCCCACUGGAUGCAGUGGGAGAAACGUUUCUACUGCAGCUACGACGCUACUAUAUGUGACGCUCUCUGUAUCCUCCAGACUUUCCUCAUGAACUCUCGUCCCAGCGUGGCGUUUGGAACAUUGUUUCUCAUCUUUGUCAGCGUUCCCGUCUCCACUGCUUUCUUUGCGUUUCGCAUCUUUGACAUUGUUCUUUGGCUUAUGAGUGCCAUUCACGCAGGAUGAUCGUGUAUAGUGCGUUAAUAUAUGUGUUUAUAUUUUCUUAUAGUUUAUUGUAUCGUUACCUAAGAUAACAAGAAUCCUAUUUUUGAUAUGGUUUGGGGAAACAGAGUAGUAGAUAUAUAAAAGAGAAAGAUCAAAAGAGUGAUAUAUAUAAGAGAUCAUAGACAAUACGGAGACUAAUGUUUCAAGAGAGUAACCAAUUGAUUUUGUAUAUUAUAUUAUCCAUUAAAUUCAAAUAAGCUUCUAGAAUAUGUUUCCAAACGAACAACUUCAACCAAAUAUUUCUGUUUCAUAUUUUGACUUUGUUAAAUUCUUUGUAUUCCUCUCUAUCCAUUCAUAGAUGCUUCUCUCCUCACUUUGGCUUUUUUUUUACAAGGCUGAUCAACCUGUGCCCAUAAAAAGUCAAUGUUAAAGCCACACAUAUAUAGUCUUGCAUGCAUAUACGAUCUUGAAAACUUGAAGUACAUCUUUUGACGAAUCCGGCCACAAGAUGUCAGAGAAGUCUUCCUCAUGGACAUGGAAAUGGAGAAAUUAUUUUGAUCUUCACACAGUGUGUUUUGUAGUGAUCUCACAUUGUAGAUGUGAGUGGUGCCACUCUGAGGCUUCCAGGGGUUGUGGAGCAUGGGUUUCUGGACAUGCUUCCAUUGUGAAGGUAAGCUUAAUGUUAAUAUCAUCAACAAAGAGUUGGUUUAGUUUUUACUUAAGUUUUGGUUACAAAAUAUGUACAAAUCAGGUAUUUUAAAACUGAAGAACAGAUUUUACUCAUGUUUUGGUUAUAAAAUAGGUAAAAAUCAGGUACUUUUAAACCGAAAAACCGAUUGGGACCCGAACCCGAAAGUAUAUUGGAUUGUACCGGUUCUUUGAAGAUUUACUAACCCCGACCCGAAUCCGAUAGAACCCGAACCGGUCAUGAACCGAACUUUCAUAUAAUCUGAAUGGGGUUGAUUUUGAUAAAUCCGAAAAAUCGAACCCGAUUGGAUAAAACCGAAACCCGUUUGGGACCCCGAAUGCCCAGGCCUAGUUACCUGCUGGUGAUUUCUCUCGAACAUUGAUCAUCAAGAAGCACGAUUCAUCCUCUUCUCUAUUAUUUCUUAACUCAAUGGCUGCUGGCUGCUCCUACAAUAAAAUAUGACCAUGAUUAUGUUAAUCAUUAGGGAGCAAGCGUCUCGUACGUUAAAAAUUACAUAAACAAAUUAGAGGUCAAUAGUCAUAUAAUUAUUGGUUCUUGAUGCAAUUAAUAAUGAAGAACGAUAUAGACAUAUAGUUCCAAAUUAACUUCGAUCAUCCUUUUCUCUUCUUCGGAGCUUCAUGUGUGUUUGAUGUAUACGUGACUAUAAUCUUGAAUGUCCGACCGUGUCCUCAAAUUUGUAAAAGACGUGUACCUGAUGAAAUCGAUAAGUGAAACUGGCAGGAACAUGAGAAAUGUGGUCCUAUCAAUACUACAAUAAGGCAACGCGUAAAAUCAUUUUUAUUUCUUAAAGCCAAAGUAAUCUUUGUCCGUUUUAUAUCAAAACAAAAAAAAAUUUAUUCGAAAACUUCCCUUAUAAAUAAUGUUACUCAAUCCGUCGACUUGUCUCCUGAGCAACAAGAACAAAAAAAAAGAAAUGGAACGCACACUGAUCUCAUCGUCGCCAUUCAGGUUCCACCCUUUGACGACGUCACACAGAAUCGCCACCAUAACUAAGAGGAGAAAACAAACCACCGUGUGUUGCGACUACUACUACCAAGGAGGACGAGUGGUGGACGAGAACAUGGUGGUUCUUAGGAAACGGAUCCAUGAGAUGAAGAUGGUUGAACGAAACUACGAACCUCCUUCCCACUGGAUGCAGUGGGAGAAACGUUUCUACUGCAGCUACGACGCUACUAUAUGUGACGCUCUCUGUAUCCUCCAGACUUUCCUCAUGAACUCUCGUCCCAGCGUGGCGUUUGGAACAUUGUUUCUCAUCUUUGUCAGCGUUCCCGUCUCCACUGCUUUCUUUGCGUUUCGCAUCUUUGA
rnacentral:lncRNA from 1 species